UUUUAAAAAUGGACAGUGUGGGGGCUCGUCUGAUUUGGAGGGGAAAAAGAUCUCUCCCCUCUGAGCUUCAGUUUGGACCUCGGUACCUCCAGGAGCAGCUGAUCAGCUGACCUGAGGCACCGAGUGAACAGGGGUGUAGGGGUGGAGAAGCUCAGAGAGGUAAGAUGGAGUCAGACCAUUUAAAGAUUUAAAAACAAAUAAAAGAAUCUUAAAAUGAACUCUAAAGUGCACAGGUAACCAGUGGAGGGAGGCCAGGAUGGGAGUAAUGUGCUCCCUCCAGUUAAGAGCCGGAGACGUGAGAGGGAGGACUGGCCUGUCUCUAGAAAGACAGGUAUCGAGCGUUUAGGUGUGUACAUAAACGUAUGUGCUGUGUUGUUUGUCCUCAGCAGGUGUCUUUCUAUAGAGAGAGUGAAUUAAACCUUUUGUAGACAGACUGCACCUUUAGUUGAUGUUUAACUUCUUUAUUUUCUUCCACCUUUUGAGUCACUAACCAGGUUACACUCAGAUUUCUGUUUGGUGUGUCUUCCUCUUCUCUGUUGGAGUUUCAGAGCGUUUCCUCCUGCUCCUCUGUUUGCUGUCAUGACUCAUGAGAUCCUCUCUUUGCUUCACGGACUAAAAGUUUGUUUUCUGGCAGAGCUGACAACAAUUUCACACAUGUUAGUUAUAUAUGUAAGUCAGAUUGACUCAGCAUAUCUUAACACCGGACAUCCUGAUGCGUCUUUAUCUACUUAUCACACACAAACACACACACACGGACGCAGAAACACUCAUGAGCUGAAGAAAGUGAAAGCAAACAACUUUUUCUUCAGAGAGCGAGCUUGAAUUAUCCUCCUGUACUGAUAGGCUCAGGAUACACAUGUUUUUAUUGGCCCUGUGCAAAUAUUCACAGGCUAAGUGUUUCCAGAUGGCAGUUUGUGGAGGGCACAUAUAUCAUUCAGUGAGGGGGGAGGAGAGAGAGAGGGAGAGAGAGAGAGAGAGUCUGUCAAAAGCAUUCUGCUCUCCUGACGAGGGCAUUUCCUGUCUGGAUUUGGGAGGAUUAAGUAUUUGUGCGUGGGGGGUGUUUGUACGGCCGGCAUGUGCGGAGAGGGACAAGACUCCACUGAACUUUUCAGUGCGCAUGUUUGAUUUGAAUGAGGGAAAACGGAAAACCUAUAAAUCAAAAUAAAACAUGAUUUAUCGUCUGCUUGUGCGAGUUAAUCCUGCCUGAUAGUUUUCUGGUUUUGCCUCCUUUUUGAGGUUUGCUUUAAGCUCCGACAGCUCGACAAUAUCCCUCAUGAAACAAUCCAAAACGAAUUGUUUUGAUAUUAUUGCAAAAAUGAAACAUGUAGAGUUUGUGUUGAAGUUUUUACGACAGACGGUUAUUGUUCAGGAGAGUCUGGGGGGCUGUAAAAAAAGCUUAAAGCAGCUUCAAUGUUCUCAAUUCUGUGUGGGUGUUUUCUGUGGAAUAAAUAAGAAGUCUCACACAGAAACACCCCCCCACACACACACACACACGCCAGAGCUCUUUAAAAGUCUGUGUGUGUUUCCUCCUCUCUUUGAGUACAGCCUGUGUAAAUUCAAGUCCUAUUUGUCAAGUCUUUUAGGGAUAAAGACGAACAAUUACGGAGAUGAAAAAGUGCAGGAAAUAUUUACAUGCUGAUUUCAAUAAACUUUGCGCUCCUCUCUGCAGCUGGCUGGGUGAGUACACCCUCCACUUACUGAUUAGCAGGGGUGUUGCUCCAGAUUCUGGGGCCCCUGGAAAGAUAAGAGUGUGGGCCCCACCACCACAGUCCAAAAAUAACCCAACACAGGUUUUUACGUCACUAAAAUGAACCAGGACUGUAACUUUGUGUUGCAUCGUGGGUGGUUAGGUAACAAAAGAGACAAUGGGAUGUUUGCUUGGAUAUUUAUUUAUUUUCAAAAGUGUUUUCUUUGGAAAUUUGUGUCUUUAUUUGUCAGGACAGCAGAGGAAAGGCAGGGAAAUUACAUUCAUAAAACAGAGUGAUAUCUAUAGUGAUGCCUGUCAAUGAUAUUUAAAAGCAAAUGAAACCAUCAGUGAUUUAAAAUUGAUUAAUCGCGCAGCCCUAUUUUGAAGUCACUACUCAAGCAUGUGGAGGACAAGAUAAGAAAAGACAGUUUUGUCCACAGGGGGCGCCAAAGUUGACACAGACCACUCACAGCUCUGUCCACUGCCCUAUCUUUAAAUGAAAGCUGAAAAAGACUUUUGUAAAUAUUUAUUAUCUUGUUAUCUUGAUAACUUUCUGCCUACUUGAGAUCGCCACGGCUGGUGUUAGCUUUUUGAACUAUGUGAAUAAUGCUCAUGGUUUUUGUUAAACUGGUGAAAAACAAAUAUCACCUAAUUUGCUCUUUUCUCUCCUUCUCCAUCCUCUCUAUCUUUUUUUGUCAUCCUGAUUUUGCUCACAUUCAAAAGUCAUUCUGUCACAACCGAGCUGUGUAAAAAGUAACACCCACGGCUACAUUUUCAGGCUGAAAAGUGCUGACAUGAUGGGGGGUUUUUUGAGCUGCGAACCACAAAGCUACUCUUGAGGUGUCCCAGACGGCUGUAAGAAAAGGUGAAAAUGCAUUUAAUCUGUGUCCUUUAGUAAACUGUCAGUGAUACAAACAAAUACAAGUGGAUUAUCAGACAUUAUGAACUUUGUUGUGCUCACCUUACAUGAUCUUUUUUUAAAAAACCUGUCUGAAAUCAAACAGCUCCCAGGCACCUCCAGCCGAGUGCAAGUGUCAGCCUGUUUUCAUUUUCACAAUCACAUUUAACUUGCCAGCACUGCAAGGAAACACACAGGAAUUGACCUAAAACCUGAUUCCUUUAAACUCUAUCCACCUUAAAUAUAUUUCACAGCCUAAAAGCAUGACAUGUUUUACCAAGCGUUAAUGUCACACUGUUUAGGAGCAUGACAGGCACUUUCCUCGGGGGGAAGAAUCUUGUUUUUCUCGUAUCCUGCUGGGUGUUCAGGCAGUGCGACGAGCAAGUCUGUAUUUGGCCUCCAGACAGUCAUUUGAAGUCUUUGUCAGAAGUCCCAGACGGUCCCAGGCUGAUCCAGCAAGCAGCCAAAUGUUGAUCCUGUUGUCAUUGUUCUUUUCUUUUACUUUCAAUUUACUCUUUUUUUUCCCAUCCCUAGAUAACAUCUCAUGGAUGUCCUGUAACUGAUGGAUUUACAAGAAGGUGCAAGCUCUAGGACAAAGUUCAUGAGAGGAAUUACACAUUAUACACAGUAUAAACACAAGUUCCAAUGCACUAUACUGUGACUUUGGUAGGGGCAUCUAUAUCUUAACUUCAGAUUUGCACUUAGGUCACUAAGUCUACAAGUUUAUUUUUUGUUCUAUUCUGAGUAUCAGCAAAACUAGUGCUGAUAAUCGUGCACACAACUACACAAACACAGGGACUUGUUAUCCAACAAUCCAAAAUCUCAACCUAUCAGACUAUAUUAACAGUCAUAUUAAAGCUUCUGUAAGAAACUUUUGGAUUGAGACAAUUUUUGGCGCCCCCUGUGGACAAAGCGGUUUUUGCAUAUUUGUCCUCUAUAUACUUAAAUGGUGUCAUCUAUGGUUUUGAAGGUCAAAUUUAUGAUUUAUCGCUAAUGUGAAGGCUUGUAUUGACAGGAUACGGGUUCAAGAAAAAAUAUGGACAUCCGAAAUAAUCACACGAAAAAAAAGCUUCUGGUGUGAAAGGACCUUCAAUGUGAAUAAUCUUUAUUUUUGCAUAUCAUUAAAGUCCCACUACGAUUUUUUUCUUUUCUUUUACAACUUAAAGUGUUCUCUGUGGUCUUUAAAUUGCGAUUAUGAAGUUUUUAGCCAAAAUUACAUUAUCUGUGUCAUUUUCAGGGACUUUUCUUCUGCAGCAAUUCAACUCUGAGUCGUGGGCGGAGACAGCGCUGCUCUGCACACUACCUCUUCACGCUAGCUUGUAGCCUAACAUUGCCGAUGUAGUAGAAGUGGCAGGUAACAUAGAAGCUCUUCAGCUCUCAGACACUAAUGUCUUUAGGGACAUGAUAAAAGUUGAUAUCAUAAUUAGCUUUUUUACGAGCAUUGCAAUCAGCUAACGCUCACGCUCAUUCUCCUCUCUACUUCUCUGAGUCUGGCCUGCAUAGCGGGGCUGCGGGGGCGGAGCCUGGAUUUGCUACAUAGAAAAUCUCACUGUAUGUGAAGAUUCACAGCGAUUUGAAUUCAUAAAUACUCAGAAAUGCAAUUUCGCACUUACUUUUCUUAUGAUAUGUCCUGCAGCAUCAGAAAAAUGAACAUGUAGAGAACAAGAAAAACGUGAUUUUCAUCGGAGUGGGUCUUUAAAAGGCAUCAGGAUGAAUUUCAAUCUAUUUUAGUCACAUCUCAAAACUUCUUACUGGAGCUUUAAGUCAGUUUAAGUCAGGUUUUGACAUGAGCGUAUUUGUAGAGACUUAAGUCUGCAGUGUGGUUCUGAUAUUUCAAAGAUAAUCCAAAGAACUGUAGAGAAACAUCAGGAGUUUUUUCACCACCUAUCCCUACAUUAUACUCAUCAUGUAUUUAAAUUCAUUAUGACUCAGUGUGCAACCUUAAAAUUCACUCAGUUGCAGAGUCACACUGCUGUAGCACCACCCAAAGACUAACAGCACAAACUCUGACUGCUGUUUUUUUUUCCAACAGGCUGAACAAGACCACGAACAAGACUCUUAAAAGUUUUUGUGGGCUGUUUAUCGUAUUUACAUCCAUAUGGUGGUGCUAUCAGCUACACGAACUCCAUGUGUCUUCUCUUUGCCAAACUUUCUAUUGCUUAUGAAAACCUGCAGACUCUUCUGGCGUCACUCGGACAAAUGCAGAAAACAGAAACAACCCGCUUAUACGUAAGAGGUAGAGUGCAGGUAUUUGCAGGAAUAAGUGAAGCAAGACUCUCUGCUGUGGGCCUGCUGCUUUAUGUGUUCAGGUGUCAAGUAACUCCGAGAACAGACACCACCCAGCCGACAGGACUGGACAGGCUGACUUAACACAAAACACGACCACACCUGGUUAACAGGUUUAACACUUAACUCCUCAUUACAGCUCUAUUCUGUGAUCCCUAAUUUUAAUAUUUCAUUCUCUUGUAAUGGCUCAGCAAAAAAUAGAAACAGGCUGUGAAUAGGAGGACACACCUUCACUUUUGUUUUGUCCGGGUUCAUUGUUGAGAGUGAACAUGACAUAAUAACACACAAAUCACGUUGUGGUUUUUAACAGAUAGCAGACAAAGGGAUUUGAAGAUAUUUUCCGAGCGAUUUCAGGAAAUUCUCGGUCGGAACAAUACCAAGUCCAUCAUGUAGUACAACACACGAGAAAGGUCUUUUUAUUUUGUUAAAAAACUGAAAUAUCAAACCCUUUUUUCUUUGUUUGUAUUCUGUGAAACAAUGCCACAAAUAUCCUACCUUUCUUUAUCUAUGUAUGUCACUGUAGAUAAAUC